rnacentral:piRNA from 1 species
AAGGGCUGUAACCACUAAAGGCUUAUG